rnacentral:lncRNA from 1 species
AAAAUGGAUUAUAUUAACCCAUGGUUCUUUAUUUUCAACGAUGGCAGACAUGCUCGACCAAACAAGCUUCGUCUGUUGUACACCUCGCCUUGGUCGCUGCUAGUUUUUGAAAAUGGAGGUAUAACCCCAGCCUCUGUAUCAUGAUGAUGCAUGUGACCCUCUUAUUAAAAAUCCAGAAAGUAUGAUCAUAAAGGUUUUAUGAUCGCAAACGGAGCAAAACAAAGUGCAUAAACCAGAAAAAUACAAGCGGACAAAGACCACCGAUACGGUAAUAAUAAGGAUAAGCUCUCUAGACUCCUAUCCUGUUAUGCAAACGCCAUCCGAACCGGUUGAAAAUAACCCGAGCCACCAUCUCCCAUUGAUUGCACCCAGUAACCAAAGGCUCCCUGGAAUCCAUAAGAGUGAGUAAGGACCACGUACGGAUCCAAGCUAUAGCUCUGAAGAUAACCUGCAAAAAAGUUAAGUUGUGUUGUCUAUUAAAAAUCAUAUCAUUUCUGCAGUUCCAUAUAGCCUAUAGUAACGCACAUAUUCCAAUCCGAAUACGUGCUGCCGUGAUCUGUUCAACCCCAGCUAACCACGUCCCAAACAAAGACGAAAUAUCUACUGAAGGAUUGAUAUUAAAAGCUAUAUGAAUCGUUCUCCAAAAUAACUUGGCAAGUGGGCAUUCAAGGAAUAAAUGUUGUAUUGUCUCAUCCUGAGCACAAAAACAACACCGCGAGUUGCCUACCCAUCGUCUCUUAAGUAAGUUGUCAUUUGUGAGUAUUACUUGUUUGUGGACAAACCACAUAAAAAUUUUAAUCCACAAAGGAACCUUAACCUUCCAUAUAUGUAGUGACCUUGAGAGGGGGCCAGAAUUAAUCAGAUCCGUAUAAAAGGAUUUCACCGUAAAUAUCCCAUUUUUAGUUAACUUCCAUUGUGUUGAGUCCGGCAUGUCGGAGAGUCGAACUUCAAUCAAUCUCCAAACCAAGUGCAUCCAGGCUGUCCAUCUCUCACCCACUAACGUACGUCUGAACUGGAUGUUCAAGGGAAUAGUUUGAAGGACGAUACCUACGUAAUCUUCCUUACGUUGCAUAAUAUUGUAAAGGGUAGGAUAUUGGUCGCUGCUAGUAGAUUUUGAUUGGAGACGCUGCUAUGUGCCAAACAUGUUUAAGUCACCUUUGAUGAUAUACAAAAAGGAACAGGGAAGACCGGUUGCUUACAUGAUACCCGUGCUCUUACUUGAAGAACCUUAGUUUCCAUUCUAAACCCUUCUGUUCCAACACGACAUCAUGUUGUCAAUAUACUGAGAGAAUCAGAUAUAUGAAAGUAAAAUUUAUGAUGAAAUAAAUAAGAAAACAAGUUAUACACGAAAGACGCUAUAGUUUUUACUUUUUCCCUCGACAUGUUGGGACAUUUAGGGCAAUGUGAUAAUAAAAUUGAGAGAAUCAGCUAUAUGAUAUAAAAGUAAAAUUUAUGAUGAAAUAAAAAUGAAAACAAGUUAUGCAUGGAAGAAGGCGCUACAGUUUUUACUUUUUCCCUUGGCAUAGUUGGGACAUUCAGGGACAAUGUGAAUGUUCAAUAAUAAAAUUCAGAUGGGCAUAGAAGAUGAGAUUCAGCUUCUGAUGAUCAGGGAGCACUGUCAUCAACGACAAAAUAAAGAUAAUAUAUAAUAAUGCAACAUAAAAAGUAAUAGCAAUGCUAUGUUCCAAGGAAGCAACUUCCGAAGACCAAAAAACAGAAGUGGUGGGAGCAUAUAUUCUUAUAGGCAGGCCAGAGGGGCAUAUUUAUUGGUAAGUACUUCUACAUGUUUUUUUGGCAAAAAAAAAGUACUUCUACAUGUUUAUUUCAUUUAUGUACUAGUAACAGUCAUGAAGGAAAGCACGUAUUACUACUACGCAGUGAAGGUCCUUUCCUCACUUGUGCAGAUAACUUUUGGUUGAACAGCUACAGUACAUAUGUGAAUAGGUUGCGCCAGUAAGCUUCAUCGCACUGUAAUGAAACAAAAGGAUAAAUAAUUUAAAAAGCCAGCAACGAUUGAUGCCAAGAAGAGGUCAGUAUCCAGCUCUUUGAAAUGGAAAUAAGCCAAACUGGAGGCUAGCACUAACCUAGCAUUGCUCCGAACAUCAUAAGAAGAGAAAAAUUAAAUUACUUGUGCAGUCAGCUAAAUAAUCAAUGUUACUCAUGCAGUCGGCUGAAGAUAGAAUAGCAGGUUGCUUUCACCUAAAGAAUGAAGAUUGCCAUGAAUAAGCAGUAGAGAACUACACAUACUGUUUAUUUGCUAUUCUAAAUUCCAGCAAGUCAUGUUUGUUUUCAAAAAUAGUGUCUGUCGUAAUUUUACCAUUCUCGCUCCCUGUUGAUUCUACAUAGGACCAUGCACAUAAGAUGCCUCCGUUUCCU